UACGUAGGUCGCAAGCGUUGUCCGGAUUUACUGGGCGUAAAGAGCGCGCAGGCGGCUGGUCAAGUCCGAUGUGAAAUCUCCCGGCUCAACUGGGGAGGGUCACUCGAUACUGGUCGACUCGAAGGCAGGAGAGGGAAGUGGAAUUCCCGGUGUAGUGGUGAAAUGCGUAGAUAUCGGGAGGAACACCAGUGGCGAAGGCGACUUCCUGGCCUGUUCUUGACGCUGAGGCGCGAAAGCUAGGGGAGCAAACGGG
rnacentral:rRNA from 1 species